rnacentral:rRNA from 1 species
UACGGAGGGUGCAAGCGUUAUCCGGAUUCACUGGGUUUAAAGGGUGCGUAGGUGGCUUUGUAAGUCAGUGGUGAAAUGCCGGAGCUUAACUCCGGAACUGCCAUUGAUACUGCUUAGCUUGAAUCACGUCGAGGUGGAUGGAAUAUUACAUGUAGCGGUGAAAUGCUUAGAUAUGUAAUAGAACACCGAUUGCGUAGGCAGCUCACUAAACUGUAACUGACGCUGAGGCACGAAAGCGUGGGGAGCAAACAGG